rnacentral:rRNA from 1 species
ACGCGAGGAACCUUACCAGGUCUUGACAUCCCAUUGAUCGCUAUGGAGACAUGGCUUUCCCUUCGGGGACAGUGGUGACAGGUGGUGCAUGGUUGUCGUCAGCUCGUGUCGUGAGAUGUUGGGUUAAGUCCCGCAACGAGCGCAACCCUUGUUCUUGGUUGCCAUCAUUUAGUUGGGCACUCUAAGGUGACUGCCGGUGACAAACCGGAGGAAGGUGGGGAUGACGUCAAAUCAUCAUGCCCCUUAUGACCUGGGCUACACACGUACUACAAUGGCCAGUACAACGGGAAGCGAAGCUGCGAGGUGGAGCCAAUCCUAAAAAGCUGGUCUCAGUUCGGAUUGCAGGCUGCAACUCGCCUGCAUGAAGUCGGAAUUGCUAGUAAUCGCGGAUCAGCAUGCCGCGGUGAAUACGUUCCCGGGUCUUGCACACACCGCCCGU